rnacentral:lncRNA from 10 species
AAUUUAACUUCUUUUCAGUGUCUGAAAAAAGCAGUGAGACUCGACAGUAAUAAUCACUUAUACUGGAAUGCUCUUGGUGUGGUUGCAUGUUACAGUGGUGAGAAUUGAGUAACACUUCAAUAUUUUUAGAAGAUUGUGUAUUUCAAACAAAGUUCAGUUUCAUCAGGUUUUGUAUUUUUCAGGUAUUGGAAAUUAUGCCCUUGCUCAGCACUGUUUCAUCAAAUCAAUCCAGUCAGAACAAAUUAAUGCUGUUGCAUGGACCAACUUGGGAGUGUUAUACCUCACAAAUGAAAACAUUGAGCAAGCUCAUGAGGCUUUCAAAAUGGCUCAAUCCCUUGAUCCAUCUUAUUUAAUGUGCUGGAUUGGACAAGCUCUUAUUGCUGAGGCAGUUGGAAGUUAUGACACCAUGGAUCUCUUCAGGCACACUACAGAACUAAAUAUGCAUGUAAGAAUCUGAACAUUCUUCUUGAGGAUUCAUUAAUGAGAAAAGUGUUAUCCUUGUUAAGGGAAUGAAUAGAUAUUGGGCUAGGCAUAGUGGCUUAUGCCUGUAAUCCCAGUGAUUUGGGAUGCCAAGGCAGGAGGAUUGCUUGAGGCCAGCCUGGACAAUAUAGCAAGACCCUGUCUCUUAAAAAAAAAAAUUAAAAAUUAGCCAGGUAUGAUGGUGUAUACCUGUAGUCCUAGCUACUCAGGAGGCUGAGGCAGGAGGAUUGAGUCCUGGAGUUUCAGGAUACAGUGAGCUAUGAUCAUGCCAUUGCACUCCAGCCUGGGCAACAGAGCAAGAUUCUGUCUCUAAGAAAAGGAAAAAGAAAAUGAAUAGAUAGUGGUAUUAGAUGUUAAUGACAUCAGUUGUUUUUAUUCUUUAUUCUUUCUUAGAAACAGAUUAG